AACGAACGCUGGCGGCAGGCUUAACACAUGCAAGUCGAACGGGCGUAGCAAUACGUCAGUGGCGGACGGGUGAGUAACACGCGGGAAUAUGCCUUUCGGUUCGGAACAACUCGGGGAAACCCGUGCUAAUUCCGGAUACGCCCUUACGGGAAAGGAUUAUCGCCGAAGAUUAGCCGCGUUGGAUUAGCUAGUUGGUGAGGUAAAGGACUCACCAAGGCGACGAUCCAUAGCUGGUUUGAGAGAACGACCAGCCACACUGGGACUGAGACACGGCCCAGACUCCUACGGGGAGGCAGCAGUGGGGAAUCUUGGACAAUGGGCGCAAGCCUGAUCCAGCCAUGCCGCGUGAGUGAUGAAGGCCUU
rnacentral:rRNA from 1 species